GGGAAGAGGGAUCGCACUUCCUCAGAAGGCUAGAGGUCCCUCCCUCAGCCGUCACGGCUCCCCCCCAUCCCCCGUGGCCCUUAAUCCCCUGGUGCGGGGGCUUGUUUCUAAGGCGCUGAGCCCUUCACCUUUCCGGAGCCCGGCAUGGUGCUGGCAACGCCUCUCUCAUCGCCUCGUUUUAAAAAUAAUGCGUUAAAAAAAUUCAGUUUGCUAUGCGAACAGCAUUCCAACAGUACACAAUUAUAUCCGAAAUAGUUAAGCAAUAAAAGAAAAAAAAAAUGACGGGCGUUGUUGAGGCAGGAGGAUUACUGCGAAUUCUACUCCACCUUGGGCUACAUACCGAGAUUGUGUCAAAAACCACGGAGUGGGGGAAAUUAAGUGAAGUAAUCGUCUACGUUGGGAACCAAAGAUUCCAAGAAAAUGCCCCAAUGUGUGCUGCUUCUAGGAUCCUAGAGAUCCAAAGACUCCUGCAUCCUUCCACAAACCUUUUACAUCACCUGAGAUCUACAUAACUGUGUUUAUGACAGCAACAGCUCCACUUCUAAGUACCAACUUGUCAGAACACGAAAGAAUGGAGUCGUAUGAAGAUAUUAGUGCUUGUGAGGAAACGCCAAGAAAACGCGAGCCUUGUGAUCUCAGUUCCUUCAAACAUGGCGCCAUUCUUAGAAUGUGCGUUCAUGCUUCUCCCAGAUGUAGCCCGUAGAGUGGGUUCGCUUCAGAUUACUCAUUAAACUGCCUAUUGUUAUUUGCUUAUAUGCCUUUAUGGAAAACAUGUUUUUGCCAUGUGCAAUUUGUCCUUGUGAUUGCACACUUUACCAUGUGACUCCUCUGAACACUCAGAGUAUAAAUUGAAUGGUUCUCUGAAGAAAGCUGGCUAUUGGAUGAGACUUUAGUGUGCCUCAUUUAUCAGCUGCACUCUCUCAGGUCCCAUCACCUCCGGGGCAGCGACACCAGCUUUCUGUCUAGUUACUUGCUUUAUUGCCAUGAAAAGAGAGCCAAAGCAACAGAAGGAGUAAAGGAUUUCCUGUGCUUUCUGUUUUACUGAAAGUUCACCAUGGGGGUGAAGCCAUGGCAGCAGAGCAGGAGUGUACUGCAUCUGUGUGCAGGGAGCAGAGAGAGAUGAAAGCUCACCAUGGAGGUGAAGGCAGUGGGGCAGGAGGAGCACUGCAUCUGUGUGCAGGGAGCAGAGAGAGAUGAAGGCUCACCAUGGAGGUGAAGGCAGUGGGGCAGGAGGCGCACUGCAUCUGUGUGCAGGGAGCAGAGAGAGAUGAAGGAAUGCUGAUGUUUAGCUUUCUUCUUUUUAUUUAUUGUAGAAACCCUGCUUUUGCCCACAUUUAGAUGGGCUUUUCCCACCUCAGUAACUCAGCAUAGACACUUCCUAACAUAAUGUCCAUGGCCUUCCCUUCUAGGUGUUUUAGAUUUUGUCAAGUUGGUGACGUUAAUCAUCAAGAAUUGUAUUAAAAUUCCAGAUCAUGGAAAAUGGAUGUUAUGUAAAUUAAUUUUAUUUUUGCAAUACUAAUGAUUGAUCCCAGAGUCUUGCAUGUGCUACCAAGUGCUGAACCACUGAGCUACACUCCCAAAGAAGAAACAGAUUCUUUAUAAAGGUAAUAUAGACAUCGGUUGUACCAAGUGCUUCAUUUGUGUUCGGUUGUUUAUAUGAGACACUGUGUCAUGUAGUCCAAGUGCCCAGGCCAUUGAACUUUUGACCCUCCUGCCUCAGACCUGCUAGUAUUAGAGGCUUAAGCCACCACACAAACUGAGCAGUGGUCUCUCUUAUGUUAAUUCAUUUAAUUCACAGAGCCUCACUGCUAUUGCUAACUUGACCGGACCCUCCCCACCUCUGUCAUGGGUAGCUGAAACAGAGGUUAUAGAAAACUGAUUCAAACUAAUUCAGUCUGAUUUUUCUCUCCCAGAAUUUAUAGGUAGGUUUAGUUAGUUUCAACCUAGAAAGGUAUGACACAGACAAACAGACCUUUGAGCCACACACAGUCGGAUGUGGGAAUCUUUGAAGGAGUGCACAGACUUACCCACGUCUCCAAAUAAACUGCUAAUUUAAGCCCACCCAAACCACCUCUGGCAUAAAACACUGGUUUUGCAAGUUUUCAAGUAGCAGUUUCUCCCCAUGUAUCCUAUAAAUUUCUUAUUUAAUUCAUUUGUUUCUUUUUUCCCUCUUUACAAUUGUAACUGCUUAUUCAUAGCCCCCUUUACGUCAAUCUGUAGAAAUUCUUUCAUCAGCUGAGACGGCAAACGUCAGUGGCGUAUAAAUGUGACAUCAGCCUUUGAAGUGCAUUCCAGAACAAUGUUUCCUAUUGGAUCGUUCCGUUCUAUAACUCAGUUUUGGUGGUGAUUCAUAUGAGGAUGACAGUGAUUCAUCUGAUUUCAGUGAGCCACAGGAUCUCAAAGAAGAACCUCACGUCCUACAGCCCAAUUUAAAAAGAAGUUCUCACAUCUGAGUAAGAGCAGUUACAUUCCAAUACAUUAAACAGAGCCAGGCAGAGUGACUCAUGCCUGGAGCCCCAGCAUCCCAGAGGCAGGAAGGUUAAGAGUUCAAGGCCAGCCUGCACUACAAAGACUACGGGCUCUGUCUCAAAAACAAACAAACAAACAAACAAACAAACACAAGCAGCAGUAACAACAACAACCACCACCACUAAAGCACACUUUGGAAUGAAGAAAGCCAUUUUCAAGAGGACUACUUUUUACUUAUAAGAUGGUAAUCAGUAGAGGACACAACUGAAUAAGGGUCUGCAAUAGAAGAGUCAACGUUGAAAGGAAAUUGAUAUUUCAUUAUUAAUGCGAGCACAUGAUUCUUUCCCAAAGUCUGUCUUACCAGACAGAUUUAAGAACACAAUUGCUGGGGUUUUAGACAUCAUAUAAUGUAUCACAUAAUCCAAUGCCGCCUACUGCAGAACCUCACUGGAGAUGGACCACCAUGUUCAAUAAAAAAAAUGUCAAGC
ensembl:processed_transcript